UACGAAGGGUGCAAACGUUGCUCGGAAUUAUUGGGCGUAAAGCGCACGUAGGCGGCUCUAUAAGUUGGAUGUGAAAUCCCUCGGCUUAACCAAGGAAGUGCAUUCAAAACUGUAGAGCUUGAGUACUUAAGAGGAUCGCGGAAUUCCCGGUGUAGAGGUGAAAUUCGUAGAUAUCGGGAGGAACACCAGUGGCGAAGGCGGCGAUCUGGGAAGAUACUGACGCUGAGGUGCGAAAGUGUGGGGAGCGAACAGG
rnacentral:rRNA from 1 species